CGCGCGAUGUGCGCGUGUGCAAUGACAAAGCACUGGAUAACUACCAAAAACACCUUCUAUUUUUAACAUAGUGAUUGUGUUCAACAGCGUAUAAACCCAACAAUAUUUAGAAACUUUCAAUGUGGGACUAACCCACCAAACACACAAAACCCACAAAACACACCCAUAAACCUUAACUAUACAAAGCUAUAUAUUACAAUCCCCCACCUAACUUGUAAUGGUAAAGUAUUUAGUCAAUACCUAUAGAACCGCAUAAAUAGAGGUAUUCUUUCGACCUUAAACAUUUACUUAGUGUAAACAUUUCAAAAAUUUAUCAAAUCAGUGGUGCCUAACCUUAAACCAAGAUCGUAAUAUUAAAAUCGGAAAAAAUGCUACACACAUGGUACUUAUUUUCAGUUAAGAAGUUCACAAAAUAAGAUUAGCACUAUUAUGAGUCAUGUGCUACUUCCUGGAUUCCAUGAACAUUUACAAAAGUAAACCCUUAACUUUUGAUAGAAGCGGAACCACUUUAUGUCCACAUAUGUGAAGUUCCAUUACAUGUAUCUGUUCCUAAGACAAAUUUGUGAACUCAUUUAAAGACUAGCAAUACCAAAUUUGUGAACUUCAUUAAGAAUAGCAAUAUCAUCCUUAAAUGCAACACUUAGUACUGCCAUCUUGGAAUGGUUUUUUAAAUAGAGAGUACUAGGAAUAGUCACUUAUCAGCAAUUGUUUGUACCCAUUGAACUAUUAAAACUAAUUAUUAAAUCAGUAAAAGUUGGGUUCCUAUUUACUGUGACUAAUUAGAAAGGUUCAAUCCCUUCCUAUGUUUGUUGAUUUUACCAAGUCUCUUGAUAGUUCCUUGUAUAAAGGAUCUGCCCAAAUUUUGACUGAUUGACAUAUACAAUGGAAAUCAUAACCAUCUAUAAUUAAUUGUAGGAAUAUUCAUGUCUUAAACUUAAUAUGUCUAGAUUUUCCAUUAUAGACUUUAUUUUUUUUUUUAUAUGCCCGAGACAUAGUAGCAUCCACUAUCGCAGUGCAAAGAAUGGUGGCAUCGGUUGUGGCCACAAACGCUUAUACCUCCAACAAUAAAUUUCUAAUAAGCCAUUCUGCCCCAAUUGCCCGCGGGGCAGUUUUUAGGCAUGAACUCAGUUCAUGGUGGAAUGUGCUAUACACGUCUGUUUUAGAUUGACCAUGAACACAACUCACUCCACCAUAGUUAAAAACCCAACCAGAAGUGGAUUUAUUAUCACUUGUUCCAGUGAUCAACUAGCAUCAGUAUAACCUCUAGUACAGCUGAAAUACUAUUAUAAAAAAUCCUAAUCCAACUGGUUCGUUUCAGAUAUCCAAGGAUUCUGCCUAUUGCUUUACAAUGUUUGUCACUAGGACUUUUCGUUUAUACCUAGAAAGUUUAUAAACUGCAAAUGGAAAUAAUCUGGCCUAGUGCAAUGCAUUGCAUACAUUAAACUUACCUAUUGCAACGGAGCAUACUCAAGUUGAGCAAACUGCUCUUCCAGAAUUUUCAUGUACCUUUUUGAAUUAUCAUAAGGGGUAUUAGCUCUGUUUAAAUCUCAAAUGUUUGAUUUAAGAAGAAGCAUUUUCUCAAUAUAAUGAGAUUGAACAUAAAGCAAACCCCCACUAUGCUUUUUACUUUAUACAUAAUUAUAGUAUCAACUUCAUUUACAUCUUUCAUUUUAAAAUUUGAAGGUUAGAACUUCUUAGUUUCAGUAAACAUCAUAUUAGUUCCAACAAUAAGUAUGUUCAUCCACAUACAGACAACUAAUAACACACAUACUCAUCCGUAAUUUUGAUAAUACAUUAUCAGCAUAUUAUGUCUAAAACAUGUGAUUAAAAUACAGAAUCAAACUUCUCAUGCCAUUAUUUUGGUAUGACUUGUUAAGACAUAUAAAGAUUUAAUUAACUUGCCACACUUUCUUUUCAUACCAAGCAUAACAAACCCUUCAGGUUGUGGUAGUAACUCUUCAUCUAAAUCGCCAUUUUAGGAAAGUUGUUUUAACAUCCAUUUUGCGUGCAAUAAAACCAUAAAUCGAAGCUAAGCGACAUAAGCACUCUAAUAGAUGUUAUUAUAGGGUUACAGGUGCCUAUGUAUAAAAUAAUCAGCACCUUCUUUUGCUUUAAAACCCUUGGCUACAAACCUAGCCUUUAAAAGUUUGUAAAUGGACCCAUCAGACAGUGGCUUGCAGACAGACGCACAGGCACACAUCAUGUGACUUACAAAUUCACACACAUUUGACGGUCACACCACAGGGAUUACUUUCACACAGGCAAGUGUUACGGGUCGCGUUGUGGUAACACCUUAUGUAGAUCACCCAAUACCCAUGUAUUAUUAGACAUAACUGGAGUCCAUUUCAUCAUUAACUGCCUCUUCCAAAAUGCAAUGGUUCUGAAGCCAUAGCUUCACAAAACGUUUUUGGAUAUCCAUCCUCCACAGUUAAUAAAAUGGGUUAUUUUAUUUAAAACAGUAAUUCUAUUUUCUUCAACAAGAAAACAAUAGCUUGGAGGAAAUCAAUUAAGACCUAAGUUCUUUUCUUUCUUGCAUCUUAAUCAUCCUAGGUUUCAGUAGUAAUAUCAGAAAUACUCCUUCCAAUUAUAGAGAUGGGAUUUCAUCAAAAACCAAAUUAGGUAAAUGAGAAAAUUCUCUAUCAAAAUUUAGAUCAUUAGAAAUUUAUUUUCAAAAAAUUCAAAUCUUGAGAUUCCACUAUGGACAGUUGAUCCAAAUCCAAAAGCCGAUAAGCUUUAGAAUUGUCUGCAUAUCCUACAAAAAAUACUUUUGGAGCCUUGGUCCUAAUUUUGUUCUUUUUGGAUCAGGAACUCUAUAAAAAGCUAAACAAAACCCAAUACUUUAAGUAGUGAAAGAUUUGGUUUCCUACCUGCUCACAAUUAUAAGGAGAGGACUUUGAAUUUCUUGAAGGUAUUCCUAUAUGCACAUGACAAGCCGUUAACAAUGCUUCACCCCAAAGACUUGUAAUGCAACUUAGCAUUCAAGAUCAUGGAAUUUAACAUAUCAAAUAGUUCCUAUUUUUCUUAGCCAAAACCAUCUGUUGUGGGGUGUAAGGUGCACUGUGAUGUAUUAUACCAUGUUCUUCACAAUAGUUAGUGAAGCAUAGCGAAAAUAUUCACCACCUCCCCUUUUUCCUUUCUCCUUUAUCACUUACGAAGAAUUUUUAUUUUCUUUUCCUUUUGAUUCUCAACUUCAGUUAUAGCAUUAAAACCAUUAUUCAAGGCUCAUCUUUUACUUUCUUAAUAGAACAUAAGUGUAAAUCUGGAAUAAUCGUCAAUGAAAGUUAGUAAUAAAAUAUUAUUGCGUACUCUAGUUAAAAUUACCAUUAAUUCAAAAUAUCAGAUGCACAAGUUGUAGUAAUCAUAAUUUCUAUCAAUUUAGGAAAAUGUUUCUUAGUCUUCUUUGCUUGAAUGACAAUCCACAUUUUUUAGCCAUUAUCAUGUGAAUAAUUGAUCAAACCAUGCUUAGACAUAAAGUUCAAAGAUUUAAAAUUCACAUGUACUUAAACGGUUCAUGCCAUAAGAAAGAGACUCAAAAAUAUAAAUAGAAUUAGAAUAUGUAUUAAUACUGAGUUUGAACAUUCCAUCACAGAGUACCCUUUAAAAACAAACAUUCCCUCUUAGACAAGAUUAACUUGUCCGCUCUUAGCACAGCUUUAAUACCUUUCUUACACAAUAAAUUUGCAGAACAUAAAUUCCUUCCUAUAUCCGGAAAUGAAGUACAUUGAGAAGAGUUAGCAUCUUUCCAGAGUAAAUUAAUCUCGAUUAAUCCUCUUCCCAAAACUUUAGCGAAUGGAAUUUUCAAAUCUUACCUUCAUGCCCAUCAGUAGCAUCUUCAUUACUUCUUGAAUUGUGACUUGUCAUUGCAUAACAUGUAUAAUUGCUCCAGAAUCAAACCACCAGUCAAAGAUAGUUACAGCAGCAUAUGCAAUUCAGUAAUCAUGACUAAUUGCAUUUUCAGAAUCCAUAGCCAACAAGUGCAUUAAUUUCUUUUUCAACCAAAUUCGCAUAUUGAAGUUGCUGUCUUCGUUCUUUUGUUUCUUUCUGUUCUGCAUUCUCUCUUGAAAUGACCUUUUCUUUCCACAACUGUAGCAAAGUCUAUUCUUCUUGUUAUUGCCGAAUUAUUGGAGUUAUUAGGAUUACCCCAUUACUCCCUCAGGGAUGUUGUUUGCGUUUUGUUCCUUCCCAUUAUUCUGAAAAAUUGUUAUUACUAUUACCAUUUCUUUCAAUCAACAUAGUGCACUUUUGAGUCAGAUUGUUUACCAAUCCCUUAUCCGAAUUAGAGUUCCUCUUCAAUUCGUAGAUGUUUCAAAAGUUGCUCAAGAGUGAAAUCUUGGUUGUAUGUAAUAGUUUCUUCCUAUAAUCAUCAAGUAGAAGGAAGUUGGCAAUUAUCGGCCUCCCUUGUAAUGAUUCAGGAACACAAACUUUCAGAUUCUGGAGUUAGUCACAAUUAAGACUUGUAAACUCAUGAAUUUUGAUCCAUCAGUGAAAUAUUAUCAACCAUAGUGGAAUUCGAAAAAUUGAGAAUAAUAAAAUUUAUCCGCAAUUGUUUUUCGUUGGUAUAUUUGAACUGCCCAAUGUAUCCCAGAUUUCUUUGGAGAUUUAUGAUGUGAAUUAAAUCAUACAAACCGAUAUCGAAAGGGUGUUCAGAAUGUGGACCUCUACAGAAUCUUAAGCUUCUUCACAUUUCUUUCUCUCUGACUUAACCUCUAUAGUAAAUGCGUCGGUGGUUUCUGCAAUCGGUGACAGAUCGCGAUUCAAAAGAUAUGAUGACUUUGUCAGUUUGCAGAGUAAAGUAAGAACAUCAUCUUGCCUUGCCAGCGAUUGUGAAUGUGAAAAUUGUGCCAUCGGAACUAUCCAGUUUCACGAAAAUCUUGAAAUUCAUCUUGAUUUCUCAAGGAUUGCCAUUCUGGUUCUGACUUCGAGAGAGAGGAAAGAAUAACACUUUAAGAUGUUUUAAAAAAAAUUCUUGAGCUCAGGAAUAUCUUAUGGGCUUUGAGGCG
rnacentral:lncRNA from 1 species